UGGGGAAUAUUGCACAAUGGGGGAAACCCUGAUGCAGCGACGCCGCGUGAGUGAAGAAGUAUUUCGGUAUGUAAAGCUCUAUCAGCAGGGAAGAAAAUGACGGUACCUGACUAAGAAGCCCCGGCUAACUACGUGCCAGCAGCCGCGGUAAUACGUAGGGGGCAAGCGUUAUCCGGAUUUACUGGGUGUAAAGGGAGCGUAGGUGGUUCGGUAAGUCAGGUGUGAAAGCCCGGGGCUCAACCCCGGGAUUGCACUUGAAACUAUCGAACUAGAGUGUAGGAGAGGUAAGUGGAAUUCCUAGUGUAGCGGUGAAAUGCGUAGAUAUUAGGAGGAACACCAGUGGCGAAGGCGACUUACUGGACUAUAACUGACACUGAGGCUCGAAAGCGUGGGGAGCAAACAG
rnacentral:rRNA from 1 species